UCUAGAAGGAUUCAUAGCAUCUU
rnacentral:snRNA from 1 species